CCUACGGGUGGCUGCAGUAGGGAAUAUUGGUCAAUGGGCGCAAGCCUGAACCAGCCAUGCCGCGUGCGGGAAGAAGGUCCAUUGGAUUGUAAACCGCUUUUCUCUGGGGAUAAGACUCCAUUUGAUGGAGGUUGAAGGUAUCAGAGGAAUAAGCACCGGCUAACUACGUGCCAGCAGCCGCGGUAAUACGUAGGGUGCGAGCGUUGUCCGGAUUUACUGGGUUUAAAGGGUGCGUAGGCGGGCUGUUAAGUCCGAGAUGAAAUACCAGUGCUUAA
rnacentral:rRNA from 1 species